rnacentral:rRNA from 1 species
GAUGAACGCUGGCGGCGUGCCUAAUACAUGCAAGUCGAGCGAACAGACGAGGAGCUUGCUCCUCUUACGUUAGCGGCGGACGGGUGAGUAACACGUGGAUAACCUACCUAUAAGACUGGGAUAACUUCGGGAAACCGGAGCUAAUACCGUAUAAUAUAUUGAACCGCAUGGUUCAAUAGUUAAAGACGGUUUUGCUGUCACUUAUAGAUGGAUCCGCGCCGCAUUAGCUAGUUGGUAAGGUAACGGCUUACCAAGGCAACGAUGCGUAGCCGACCUGAGAGGGUGAUCGGCCACACUGGAACUGAGACACGGUCCAGACUCCUACGGGAGGCAGCAGUAGGGAAUCUUCCGCAAUGGGCGAAAGCCUGACGGAGCAACGCCGCGUGAGUGAUGAAGGUCUUCGGAUCGUAAAACUCUGUUAUUAGGGAAGAACAAAUGUGUAAGUAACUAUGCACGUAUUGACGGUACCUAAUCAGAAAGCCACGGCUAACUACGUG